rnacentral:rRNA from 1 species
CGGUGUUCAACUGGCGUGUCCGCGGGACGUCCUGCCGGUGGGCUUAGCCCGCAAGGGCGGCCCAACUUCAAAUCCCAUCGCGGUGCUCUUCACUGAGUGUCGAGGUGGGCCGGCACGUUUACUUUGAACAAAUUAGAGUGCUUAAAGCAGGCUAAAACUUCGCCUGAAUACUGUGUGCAUGGAAUGAUGGAAUAGGACCUCGGUUCUAUUUUGUUGGUUUUCGGAACCCCGAGGUAAUGAUUAAUAGGAACGGAUGGGGGCAUUCGUAUUGCGACGUUAGAGGUGAAAUUCUUGGAUCGUCGCAAGACGGACAGAAGCGAAAGCAUUUGCCAAAAACGCUUUCAUUGAUCAAGAACGAAAGUUAGAGGUUCGAAGGCGAUCAGAUACCGCCCUAGUUCUAACCAUAAACGAUGCCAGCUAGCGAUCCGUCGACGUUCCUCCGAUGACUCGACGGGCAGCUUCCGGGAAACCAAAGCUUUUGGGUUCCGGGGGAAGUAUGGUCGCAAAGCUGAAACUUAAAGGAAUUGACGGAAGGGCACCACCAGGAGUGGAGCCUGCGGCUUAAUUUGACUCAACACGGGAAACCUCACCAGGCCCGGACACCGGAAGGAUUGACAGAUUGAGAGCUCUUUCUUGAUUCGGUGGGUGGUGGUGCAUGGCCGUUCUUAGUUGGUGGAGCGAUUUGUCUGGUUAAUUCCGAUAACGAACGAGACUCUAGCCUGCUAACUAGGCGUAUUUUCGACAUCUCAAAGGUCCGUCGUCCCGGCCCUCGGGUCGUGGGCGUGCGCGAUUUUUACUGUCGGCGUACUAUCAAUUCUUCUUAGAGGGACAGGUGGCUUCUAGCCGCACGAGAUUGAGCAAUAACAGGUCUGUGAUG